rnacentral:rRNA from 1 species
UCGCACGAGAAAGGGAGCAAUCACAAGUACAGUGGCGCACGGGUGAGUAACACGUGGAUCAUCUACCCUUUGGUGGGGAAUACCCCCGGGAAACUGGGGACAAUUCCGCAUACGCUCGCAAGAGGAAAGCCGAAAGGCGCUGAAGGAGGAGUCCGCGGCUGAUUAGCUGGUUGGCGGGGUAAUGGCCCACCAAGGCGAAGAUCGGUAGCCGGCCUGAGAGGGCACACGGCCACACUGGCACUGAAACACGGGCCAGACUCCUACGGGAGGCAGCAGUGGGGAAUCUUGCACAAUGGGGGAAACCCUGAUGCAGCGACGCCGCGUGAGCGAUGAAGCCCUUCGGGGUGUAAAGCUCUUUCGACGGGAACGAUAAUGACGGUACCCGAAGAAGAAGCUGCGGCUAACUACGUGCCAGCAGCCGCGGGUAAUAAUCACUAGUGAAUUC